rnacentral:rRNA from 1 species
GUAGGUGGCGAGCGUUAUCCGGAAUUAUUGGGCGUAAAGAGGGAGCAGGCGGCACUAAGGGUCUGUGGUGAAAGAUCGAAGCUUAACUUCGGUAAGCCAUGGAAACCGUAGAGCUAGAGUGUGUGAGAGGAUCGUGGAAUUCCAUGUGUAGCGGUGAAAUGCGUAGAUAUAUGGAGGAACACCAGUGGCGAAGGCGACGAUCUGGCGCAUAACUGACGCUCAGUCCCGAAAGCGUGGGGAGCAAAUAGGAUUAGAUACCCUAGUAGUCCACGCCGUAAACGAUGAGUACUAAGUGUUGGGAGUCAAAUCUCAGUGCUGCAGUUAACGCAAUAAGUACUCCGCCUGAGUAGUACGUUCGCAAGAAUGAAACUCAAAGGA